UACAGAGGGUGCGAGCGUUAAUCGGAAUUACUGGGCGUAAAGCGUGCGUAGACGGUAGCGUAAGUCAGAUGUGAAAGCCCCGGGCUCAACCUGGGAAUUGCAUUUGAGACUGCUCUGCUCGGGUGCGGAAGAGGGAAGCGGAAUUUCCGGUGUAGCGGUGAAAUGCGUAGAUAUCGGAAGGAACACCAGUGGCGAAAGCGGCUUCCUGUCCGACACCGACGUUCAGGCACGAAAGCGUGGGAGCAAACAGG
rnacentral:rRNA from 1 species